GCCCUGCCCGGCGGAUACCGGGACCUGGUCUACGAAGCCGGGAUGCGAGGUUCGACUCCUCGGCGGGGCUCCA
rnacentral:tRNA from 1 species